CCUCCUCCUCCUCCUCAGGAAAAGGAAAGGAGGGUCCGAAGCAGAGGCCUCGCGGGCUCCCACUUCCGAAGGGGCUCUCGCCGCCGGUUUCCUUCCCGAGGGAGGCGCUGCCCAAGAAGGGUGCCCCCUCCUCCCUCCCUCCCUCCCUCUCUGGCGAUCCGGAUCCCGGGGAGAGCGGACUCUCGGCCAAGCCGCUUGGGCUCCUUGGACCGGGCGCCGUCUCCCGCAAGAGCCCCGCCUGAGGCUCGCGGACUCCAGCCCCAAAGAGGCGCCUCGGUUCCCCCCCCGAAGAGAGCCGGAGGAGCGGAGCCGGAUCCUUGCCAGAAGACGCGGGGAAAGGAGGCGGAGAGGGCAGGGAAGCGAGCCCCCUGCGUCCAGACUGCGGCUGUGAUCCGGGUUGACACCCCUUGGACUGCCAGGGCUCCAGGCGAGGGCAUUCUGGGAAGGGCCAUUUAGCGGAUGGUGAAGCAUGGUGUCCUGUUUAAAGAUGGCAGUUGCCCAGCUGAGGGAACCUACAGUCCAUGAGAAAAGUGACAGUGAAGAAAACAAGCCAGUCUGUGGUGACAUACUGAGUGUCAGCGAAAGCAGGAAUGCAGUCAAGGCAGCGCAAGAUCUAAUGGUGACACGUCAGGCCCAGUGCCAGUCAGAAAGUCCCUGAGAGACAGAGUGAUCCAAGUCUCCUCAUGUUCAAGAAGAGAUGUGGCCUCUGCCUGCAUCAAUCCUCCCUUGAGACCACUUUAAACACCAGCUGAAGCAAACAUCUCAAGAAAGAUCUCCUCUUCUGCCUGUGCUAUUAUCAAGAAGUGCAUUAUUGAAAGGACUACAGGCCCAGUUGAAUUAAGUGUGCUUAGCUAUGGCUGAAAUUCCUUCCUAUGGCAAACAAUUCAACAACUUACAGCAUAACCCUAUACAUGUCUAUUCGGAAGCAAGCCCCACUGAGUUCAAUGGAACUUAAACCCACGUAAGCGAUCACAGUAUUGCAGUCUUAAAUAUUUAUGUGACUGUGCCAAAAUACGGAAACCUGCUGUGAUCUGGUUGUGUCUUAAGGAUGAAGAUAAAGAAGAUAUAUCGAAUACCCCAGCCAACUGGAUUCAACCAGCGUGCAAAAUAGGAAUAUGAGAUACAUUCUGGACAGGCUGCAUUGAUGGAAAUGGCCACUGAAAUAUUGGUUUUCUUUUCUGGUUUUUUGUGCUUUACGGCAGUAUAGCCUGUGCUAUAGAAGUGUUAAAAGAUAUUAGCCUGUCCACAGUUGGCAGAUAAUAGCUAUGAAGUCGGCUAAAUGACAGAUGGGGUAAUUACUGAGAAUACUUCAAGUCAACCAAGAAUAUCAUAUGCUAUUAAUUAUUUGAUUAUGACUAUUUUUUUUACAAAAGUUUGGACACCUAUUAUCAUAUAUCUGUUAAGCAACAACUACUUGUAGCUAAAUAAAGGUCUCAUGGCCUUCCUAUAUGAAAAGCAAGGUUUGUUUCCUUUUAAAAAGAAAAGAAAUAUUGACUUCUGAAGCUCCCCAUCUAAUAUCCAUUUCUGCAUUUCAGAUCCACAAUACAUAC